rnacentral:misc_RNA from 1 species
GAAAUGCGAUAAGUAAUGUGAAUUGCAGAAUUCCGUGAAUCAUCGAAUCUUUGAACGCACAUUGCGCCCUCUGGUAUUCCGGGGGGCAUGCCUGUCCGAGCGUCAUUGCAAACCCUCAAGCUCGGCUUGUGUGAUGGGUCCCGCGUCCGCCUCCCGGGGUGGACGGGCCCGAAAGGCAGUGGCAGCGUCGCGGUGAUCCGCUAAGCCAGAGCGUAUGGGGACGCUACAGUCACACGCUCGCGGCGCGGACCGGCGCUGGCCGACCCCCCUAACCAUUCUACGGUUUGACCUCGGAUCAGGUAGGGAUACCCGCUGAACUUAAGC